rnacentral:lncRNA from 1 species
GAUCCAACUUGGAGGUAAUGUUUGAACCUUAUUCUGGUUUAUCUUACUGAUUUUUGUGUUACAUAAAAAUGUAAGGUGCUAUUACAAGUCAAAUCACAAGCCCAUCUUAUCUGUAAUCUUCUCUUUGAUUAUAAACAGUUGUAGACUCAGAGGGAAGGAUAUAAACAAAAGGCUUACACAGAGUGAUUUUGCUUUAGGGUAACUUACCCAGCAAUCUGCUUUAGUUGAAUCUGAUCCACAGAAGACCCUACCCUCCAUAAAUUUCUUUUAGUUCUGAUUUGCUGUACUUCUGUCCUCUAAAAUGCCCCUGAACAGUGAGUUCCAUAAUUCGGUUAUACAAUUAAAAGUUUCAGGAAGAAAAAGGGGGGAGGGAGUGAUGGGUGUAAUUGUUUUAAACCUGCUUACUCUAUAAUUUAAUUUGGAACAUUUCAUUUGCUUUAUUGUCAGAAACGUUCGGGUUUUUUCUUCUUUGCUGUCUGUGCACUGGUCAUGCUUUUUCAGCUUCUGUUACAUUUUUGGUUCCAUGGUUAUGUUCACCUUUCUUAUGUUCAUGAUGUUCAUUGUCUGUCUUCUGUUACAGCCUGUUCGAGGUGGCAUCAUCAAAAUUGCAGAGUGUUCAGUGUGCGAGCGAGCGUUCCGUGGAGGAGUGUCAUCAGCAACAGCCGACAGCAAGCGCAGCCUGCAGUGUGCACACACCUAUUGCUGGCAACACACCGUGACUGACAACAGAGAUAGUGAUUCCUAUUUUGUAUUUUAAAAUAAUUAAGGUCAUCAGAAACUUCAUGGCACAUGAAAUAUGUCAUACUUUUGGCAGCGUGAAGAUUCUCUGCUGUGUUAUAAUGAAAGAAUUUUCCAUCAAUUUCGUAUUCACUCAGUACUAUAUAGAAAAUGUACCUACUUUGAAAAUUAAAAUGAAAAUAGAUUUCAAUGAUUUUUCAUGAAAUAACGUGAUAAUGGUACAAUAAUAUAAAAUGAAAAAUGCAUAAAUUAACAUGAGGAAAUACAUUUCAGAACAAUAUUGUAAAACAAACUGUUUCAAAAUAUAUUGCUGUAGGAAUUUCUGUAAGCAACUAUUUUUCUGUCAAACCCUCAAACAUUUCCAUCAAAACAGCUUUUUUCCAGCAAGAAGCUCCUUUAAAAAUGUCUCGCCUACUCUACUAAUUAUCCUCACUGUGAAAAAUCCAGGCCUUAUAUUAAUACUUAUAUUUAAUUAAAUUAAUUAAUUUAAUUAUGAAUUAGUUAGCUUGACCUUCCGGUGCUGAAUCCUGUUAUGCCUUUGUUUAAUAAAUUAAAGAACCUUCCACCCUCCGAAAGCGUC